CUCGCGCGAACCCCACCCACGGCAGCAAGCCCUCCUCUCUCUCGCGCAAACCCUAGCGCUGCCCUCCUCCCUUGCCGCCGCCACCUCCGGCGCCCGAUCUUGGCGACCUCUGGCGGGAAUCCUACCGUCCUCCUCUCACUCCCACCGCCCUCGCAAGCAACCCACGCACCCCUCUCCUCCCAUUCACGAUUCGUCCGCGGCCUCGCGGAUCAGAUCUGACCGACCUCGCGAUGGAUGUUGCUCUGCAGGCGGCCAGGGUCUCCACCGUCGGCGUCGGCGUCGUCUACGGCUCCGUCAAUCUCGAGCAGGCGAGGCGGCCGCAGUGGAUUCAGCCCUCAGCUCCUCCGCCGGUGGCCAGAAAGGCGCCGCGGAGGAGGUCGUCCGGCAAGCUCUUCAUCCUCGAGGAGGUCGCCAAGCACAGCUCCAAGGAUGACUGCUAGCUAGUCAUCGGCGGCAAGGUUUCCCCGUCCUUGCCUUAGAUUCAGCAUCGGAACUAAAACCUGCUGCUCUGAAGGUGCCAGCGUCGGUGAGGUAAUUUAUCAAUGUGGAAUGCUCAUCACCUCGUAGGGAAGAUCUGAACCAAGUGAAUGCAAGGAUUUUUUGGCAAUGUCUAGCUCAGUCUCACCUUCGAGAAAAUGUAAUAUUUUUCCUCCAGAGUUAGUCUACACUAUCCAGGUUGUAUGCUACUACUGAGAUCCCAUCAAGGAUGAUUUGAAGCACUCAAAAGAAGCGAAGGGCAGAAGAAGCUUCGUUUCUCAUUGAUGUUAUGUGUGAUCAACUAAAAUUUGCCCAUCUCGUCCAAUCUUUGUAGAACUAUGUUGUUGUGCGCCUGUGCACUUGUUGGGUCUUUUUGCUGUGCACUUGCACUUGUAGCAUUAUUUUGCUGUGCACUUGUGCACUUGUUGGACCUUGGACCUUGAUGUGUAGAGGAGUUAAUGGAUGAUGGAUUUUAUUUCAUGUGAUGUGUUACUGAAAUGAAAUAUACAAUUUAUCUGCAA